AAUCUUUUCCAUUCGGCAGCCGGGCCGCGGGCCGGCCGAGCUGGGCGGGCGGCCUAAUUGCCUUGGUUAAUCUCAUUAAUUCCUUUGUGCCGCCGCAGUUAACAACUCCCUCCGCCCGAGCUCUCCACCCCCACCCUUUUUUCUCAGAUUGGGUCCUAUUAUUGGGUGCGAUUUCCUCUGCCUGUAGCUCAAAUUCAUUGUGGACGAUUUUACUUUGGGGCUACUUUUUUCCCCCUUUCGGAAUUGGUUUUGUUUUAGAAAAUGUGAGGGGCUGCAUCCCCUCUCAAGCAGGAUUGAAAAUUCCACCACUCCUCCGCGCCCCCACGUACUCACCGCCUGAUUUACCUCUUUUUUAAAUCUUGAGUUUCUCUCCCGAAUGGAACUUGUUAACCCCCCCAAAAAACUUUUGGUUUUGUAAAAUCCAAAUUUUGUAAAGGCAAAAACGACUAAAGGAGGGGUGCAUCGUGCUUCUUAAAAAGAUUUUUUUUUCCAGCCACUCUGGGUCUGAAAACUACCAUGGCAGUCCCUAGGUCCUACACAGCGAAGACCAAAUUCAGCCGCUCUUUAAAAUUCGCCACCAAGAGUUGCAGUCUGAAGCGGUGCUUCUAGCUGCUCCCAGCGUGGGUGUCGGUAGUUUUUGUGCUUUUAAAAAAUUAGUUUUGGAAAUGUGGUGCCUUCUCUCCCAAACUAUUUUUUUGAUUUUCAAUCCAGAUGGGGUCUUUGGGACUUCCCUAUCUUCUUCCCCAAUAAUUGGGUCGCAUUUUUCCUUACGACCUGCUGGCUGCCGGUAGGCCUGCCCUUCCGCCUGGCAGGCCCAGAGUGGAUUCCCUGGGCCGCAGUGGCCUGGACGAUGGCCGGGUCUGAUAGCGGCAGGCGGCCGCGAUGAUUUGCGGGAUUCUCGGCAUGGCACGGCCAGCCUGCCCGAGCCACGGGAGGCGCAGCCAGCCCACCACUCACGGCAAGCAGGCGGCCGAGCGCCCUUCGAGAAGGUAGGCGACGGUACGCGCGGAACAAAAGCAGUCCCCCAGAUCCUGUGGACCGGGUGCAAGCUCCCGGCUUGCAACUCAGGCCACUCCAGGGGAAGGGGCAGUACCCGACCCAGGCGAUACCCCCGAGAGCCGGAGAGGGAGAUGGGGUUGCGGGAGACCUCGGGUUUCCUGAAGGAAGUCCGCCUUUAACUCACACCUAUUUUUCGCGAUUUCUCUCAGGCUAAUUAACCAAGGGACCCCGCAAAGUUGUCUGAAGUCGCCGCCGUAAGGCUAAGUAAGUGGGCUGCCCACUCCCCGGCUCAGGGGCAAAGGGGAAAGCCCACUUGUCAAUUUCUGUUCGGGUUUCAAAGAGCCAUUGCACGGAGGUUUAGUCCUGUCCGAGGGCACUACUGUGGCGGCGCGCAGAAGCGGCCCAGUGGAGCCAGGCGGCGACGUUUCUCCUCCUAGGCCUCCCAGCGUGGACCUCUGUGUCCUCACGGCCACCAGCUUGUGGCCUGAGAGUUGCUCCUUCCAGUGCUGCGCAAACUAGAGGUGGUUGUAAAUGGGGAUUAGGACAUGACGGAGAUGGGUCUCAAUUUGGGGAAGUGAAUAGAGUUUUCCUUUUUUUCUUUUUUAACAAUAAAAACAAAGAGGGAGUGUGACCCUCCCCUUAGAGAGGUCAGGUCUAGGGUAAGAAGUGAGGCACCUUCCAUCUCCCACUGACUAGGAUGAAGUCUUUUUUAUUGUUGUUCCGUUCUCAGAGACUUAAGUCACCAUGCUCCAGGGCAGAUACUCCCCCACCAAUCUUUCCCAGGUUUAAAGCUACAGGGCAGUUGAUGGACGACAACUAGAGGCUGCAACUUAUCAGUGACUGCCUGCGUUUGUGUUGGAGGCUGGGUGUGCGCUGCGGUGCGCGUGUGAGUGGAUCUUUUAAGACCUUUGUCUGAGCCGGGCAGAGGCACAAGUGCCACCUGACGCUUGGGGCAGAUUCCUCGUCCUGUUCUUGCAAAGAUGCCAAAUCAGGAGAGUGUCAAGAUUUCAACCGCAGACCUAAAAAAAGUGUCUCCAUGUUUUUAAAAGUAUCAGACAACCACCUCCACACACCCCUCCGUCUCCCCUUCCACCUGGAACAUUGUUCUUUUUAAUAACCAGGUUUAGCAAACUGCUAUACUGCGCCUGUGCUUUCCUGCAGCCCUCCGCUGUACCAGCUGAGCCCUGUACAGAAUCUGAGCGUCAGAGUUGCAGACCCAACCUUGCCACCUUGCAAAUCAUCCCUUCUCUGGAGGCCUCAGGAUUUUAGUUGAUCAAACCAACACCAACAUUCAUUGGGUCCCUUUGCAACCCUAACAUUUAAUGAGACUUGGUAAUUGUCAUCCGUUCGCCAAGGAGGUUGGGGAUGAACUUGGGGGCAUUUUCUUGUUUAUUUUUCAUUGAGACAAAGGAGUGUGCUGUCCCCACCUCCGCCCCCAGACAAGGACAGGGUUCCUACAUCAGCUGGGUCUAAAAUAAGGAAAAGCGAGUGCUGCCGCAGAGGGGACUUUCCGGGAAGGGGGUCACAGGAACCCCAAGGCCACACAGCUCCAGACACUCUGCCGGAGCUCUAGGGGAGCUCACCCCUGCGCGGCGGGACCUCCCCCAUCGGGUUGCCCCUUCAAUCUGCAGCCGCGCGGAGGCAGGCCCCGGGAAAGGCAGUCGGCGCUCGGUGCUCGCACUGCGCCUCGGCGGGCGGAAACUCACAAGUGUCCUCAACGUGCUAAACAAACCAUCAGGGCCCCGCAUCGCCUGGCGCAAUUGGAAUAACAAAUGCGACGCACGCAAAUUGUCCACCUCGUGUUGCUAAGCGAUUGUUUGUCGGCCCCGCACGCACAGCUCAGCAUGGGAGGACCGCGAGCGUCCAGAGGCAGCCGGCGAGCGCUUAGGUCGGAAAUGCAGUAAACAUGCCGCUGAUUUUCCCUAUUAUCACCCAAACACGAUUUCACACAAAGCAAUCACCACGCAGAAGUCUAUGAAAAUGUGUUUGUUGAGGAGUCACUCGCCCCAGUAAUAGUCCUCAUUUUUAAGAUAUUAAAGAAUAGCUCAGCGGAUUCCACAUGCAUAAGGUCUAUUUGCCGUUCGGCAUCUGUCACGGCGCUUUUGCACUGCGGUCAUCACUAAAUUGAUUCAUAGAGUGUAGAUUAAAUUGCUUCUCUGAUUUAAAACAGUGUCCAACUUUGGAGUAUGCGUGUGAGUAUCUUCUCCCGCCCCAAGGUAUUUUUGUCAGGGAGAAAACUGUCGCCCCACUAUCCUUACACCCCAUUCCGCAUAACUGUAAAAAAAUAAUGCAUCUUCGACCCCAACUUCUUACGGUUCGUUUCAGGAACUUUCUUAAUUCUCUCCGUCUCCUGCCCGGCCACAGAGCAGAGUUCACAAUCGGAUGCGUUUAAGUCGGAUUUUUCGUGUCAUGUGCAAAAAGCCGGUGUGUCCUUUUCAAGGUACGGAGCCCUCAUCGGAGGGCGCAUUAGCGGGGUCAGAGGAAUUAGGAGCAAUGCGCAGAGCCCCCUGCAGCCCGCGUGCUGCGCCGAGACCUCAGCCGUCCUCACUGAGCGGAAUGGUUGUGUUGUUUGUAUUGGGACUUUUAAAAAAUCCAGUCUCAAAGCUAAGUGCUCAAACCCCGUUCCAUGGCUCUGCUGCUUUCUGGAGGACAUCUCCGGUAGCCCCAGGGGAUUGUCCGUGUGAGGUUGGGUGGGUGGAGUAGAGCCAGAGGCGCAAAUGCCUCCUGGCUAAGGGGCAGCGCGCAUUAGAGCUGGGUCUCCUGCUUUCGGAGCGGAGGGCGUAAGGGAGCUUUCUAGCUGAUUUUUUGCUAGAAGUUUUCCAACGCUCCAAAUAAAAGCACCCGAUCCCCUAAGGACGAAAUAAUCAAGGUGUUAGGGAAGCUCAACAGAAGAGAAGAGACGAGAAGAGAAGAGAAGAGAAGAAGGGGCUAUCGAAAAAUGACGUGUUCCCAAGGCCUUAGAAAAAUAAAUAAAUAAAUAAAUAAAUAAAUAAAUAGCUUGGACUUUCCGGGGUUGCAGAAAUCCGAUUUCAGCCGGGCUAUUUACCAAAAUUUGUUUCAAAAUGACUGCACCUUUGCUUUUGCAAGUCACAGAAUGCAAAUGACGAUAAUUUGUUCUCAGAAGAAGUUUCUCUUGAAAUGAUUAGCAAAGUCAGUCAUUUGAAAAUUAGAACGAAGCCCUUCGCUAACUGAUAUCUGCUUCUAAAGUUUUCAUUCAUGUAAACCUCAUUAAUGAAGAUCUUUUAUUUAAACGUCAAGGGGAUUUGAAAUUUAGAGUAAAUUAUGAAGCUUGUAUGUCUAGCCAAGUCAUGGGUCAAAUGCAUUUGUGAAAAACUGCUAAAGAGCAUAUGGUUUUGAAUUUUUCUACAAUGACUAGUGUUUAAAUAAAUUGCUUGUA
rnacentral:lncRNA from 10 species